AUGACUUCACGUAGUGAGGUGUUGUCUAUUUAUAAGCGUUUUGCUGCCAUGGUUCAUACUCAGUUCUCUUCACCCAUUCGUGUUUUUCGUGCUGACUCCGCUGGUGAGUAUAUCUCUAAGAUGUUGCGUGGUGUCCUUGCUGAGCAGGGUACUCUUGCCCAGUUCUCUUGUCCUGGUGCUCAUGCUCAGAAUGGUGUGUCUGAGCGGAAGCAUCGUCACCUUCUUGAGACGGCUCGUGCUAUGAUGAUCGCCGCCUCUCUUCCGCCUCAUUUUUGGGCCGAGGCUAUCUCCACUUCUGUCUAUCUCAUCAACCUUCAGCCAUCUGCUGCUUUGCAGGGUGGUGUUCCUUUUGAGCGUCUGUUUGAUCGCUCUCCCGAUUAUUCGAUGCUUCGCUUGUUUGGUUGUGUUUGCUAUGUUCUUCUUGCCCCUCGCGAACGCACCAAACUGACCGCUCAGUCUGUUGAGUGUGUCUUCUUAGGCUACAGUGAUGAGCAUAAGGGCUAUCGUUGUUGGGAUCCUGUCGGUCGUCGGAUGCGUAUCUCUCGAGAUGUGACUUUUGAUGAGUCUCGUCCUUUUUACCCACGACCAUCUUCCUCGGUCUUUUCAGUGGAGGAUAUCUCUUUUCUCACUUUUCCUGACUCCCCUAUCACUCCCGUCGCGCCUGUGCCUAUUCGUCCCACUCCCUCUGCUUCUCCACCCCUCGUCGAUUCACCGCCACCAUCUUCCCCGGUCUCCUCACCUAGCAUGUCACCGGAUUCUACACCUACAUCUCCGGUGACUUCUUCGUCACCACCCCCUGAUUCUACCUUGGCGAUUCCUCCUUCUCUUGUUCCAUCUCUUCCGCAGCAUUACACUCGUCGUUCACGACCUGUGGAUGCUUCCUUGGAUGAGUCGUCCUCUUCCUCUCAGCCUACUUAUGGCUUGCGUUCUCGUCCUCGUCCGCCUAUUGAUCGCUUUGGAUUUCCCACCGCUGGUGCUGCUGUUCUUGAGCCGACUUCUUACCGUCAGGCUGUUGUUCAUCCUGAAUGGCAGUUUGCGAUGGCGGAGGAGAUUGCUGCUCUUGAACGCACUGGUACCUGGGAUCUUGUUUCUCUUCCUCCCGGAGUCCGUCCCAUCACUUGUAAGUGGGUCUACAAGGUUAAGACUCGCUCCGAUGGUUCUCUUGAGCGUCACAAAGCUCGUCUUGUGGCUCGUGGUUUUCAGCAGGAGCAUGGUCGUGAUUAUGACGAGACUUUUGCUCCUGUGGCCCAUAUGACCACUAUUCGUACACUUCUUGCCGUUGCCUCUGCACGCCACUGGUCUAUAUCUCAGCUUGAUGUUAAGAAUGCCUUUCUUAAUGGUGAGCUGCGUGAGGAGGUGUACAUGCAGCCACCACCUGGGUAUUCUGUUCCUGAUGGCAUGGUGUGUCGUCUUCGUCGCUCUCUCUAUGGCCUUAAGCAAGCCCCUCGCGCCUGGUUUGAGCGUUUUGCUUCUGUGGUCACUACUGCUGGUUUUUCAACAAGUGCUCAUGAUCCCGCAUUGUUUAUUCACCUUUCUCCUCGUGGUCGGACUCUUCUUCUUCUCUAUGUUGAUGAUAUGGUCAUCACUGGGGAUGACCCCGAGUAUAUUGCCUUUGUAAAGGCCCGUCUUAGUGAGCAGUUUCUUAUGUCUGAUCUUGGACCUCUUCGCUAUUUUCUUGGGAUUGAAGUCUCUUCUACCUCUGAUGGCUUUUUUAUAUCCCAGGAAAAGUAUAUCCAGGAUCUUCUUGCUCGUGCUGCUCUUUCUGACGAGCGCACUGUUGAGACUCCUAUGGAGCUCAAUGUUCACCUCCGUGCUACUGAUGGUGAUCCUCUCCCUGACCCGACGCGUUAUCGUCAUCUCGUUGGCAGUCUUGUCUAUCUAGCUGUCACUCGUCCGGACAUCUCUUAUCCGGUUCAUAUUCUGAGUCAGUUUGUUUCUGCUCCCACAUCGGUUCAUUAUAGUCAUCUCCUUCGUGUUCUCCGAUAUCUUCGGGGCACGAUCUCUCACCGUCUCUUCUUACCUAGCUCCAGUUCUUUACAGCUUCAGGCCUAUGCGGAUGCUACGUGGGCUAGUGAUCCUUCUGAUCGCCGUUCGCUUUCUGCUUACUGUGUUUUUCUUGGCGGUUCUCUCAUUGCCUGGAAGACGAAGAAACAGAUUGCAGUUUCCCGUUCGAGUGCUGAGGCUGAGUUGCGAGCUAUGGCUCUUUUGACGGCAGAGGUGACUUGGUUACGAUGGUUACUUCAGGACUUUGGUGUUUCUGUCACUACACCGACUAUGCUCUUAUCUGACAGUACAGGUGCUAUUAGCAUUGCGCGCGAUCCUGUGAAGCAUGAGCUCACCAAGCAUAUUGGUGUUGAUGCUUUCUAUGUGCGCGCUGCCGUGCAGGAUCAGGUCGUUGCUCUUCAGUAUGUGCCUUCCGAGUUACAGUUGGCGGAUUUCCUGACGAAGGCCCAGACUAGAGCACAACAUGGCUUUUAUCUCUCCAAACUCAGUGUUGUUCCUCCACCAUGA
rnacentral:rRNA from 1 species